CACCUUCCAACUCGCCAAAGCCAAGAACCACGUCGGAGGCUUUCCCCUGCCUGUCUUUGACCUCCAGAGCGGUGAUGGUGCAGCCCCAGGAAAUGAUGUCCACUUUCAACAGGCUCUGAUGGCAGAGGACUAAACCCUAAAGGACUAUGAGAUGAAAUACAGGCAUGACUGUAUGCAUUCUUUGCUAAAUGUAGCAACUCCAGAAGAGUGUUGGCCCUGGAAUGGAGGGGGAUACUAGGAGCCUAGAGACAUGUUUUGUUCAAUCCCUCUGCAUACCUAUCCCUUGUGCUUUGCCCUGCAUUUGACCUUAUUCCUGGAUGCUUCAGACAGUGUCCAACUACACUGUGAUGAAAAUCACUUGUAUCAGGAAGCCAGAAAUGCCUAGAAGAAUCAAGUUAAUGGGAGUUAUAUUUCAAUUCAAUUUAUCAAUUUUGGAGCAGCUGCCAGGGAAUGUAUUGUGGGGGACACGUGAGAAGUGUUUUAGGAAGAUGGACUCAGUUUGGCUAUAUGGCAUGUUGUUCAUUUGUCAACUAUUCUCCCUUCCACUUUCCAUCAUCGGAUGAUGCAGCCAAAAGUUCCUCACCAGAUGCCAGCCCCUUUGUCUAGGACUCCCCAGUCUCAAAAACAUGAGAAGUUAAUUUCUAUUGCUUAAAAAGUAUUCGGUGUAUGGUGUUUUGUUAUCUCUUCACAAAAUGUACUAAGACGCAUCUCCUGCCAAAAGAAUGGAAGCUCAAAGAGAAUGGAAAAUGAUUCCCCCCUGAAAGCCACUGCUUGAGGUCACAAAUAUCCAGUCAUCUGCUCCUAGAAAAUAGAUCCAAUGCCACAAUGAAUAAGAAAGAGUUUGCUUAAGAUUUGUGGGAAAGCAGGAAAGAAGUAAAAUCACACAGCACUCAGGAACUUGAAAAUAUUUUGAAAGGAUCUUCUUUUCUCCCAGAGUUCCUCUCCCCAACCAAUUGCCUCUUUUGCACAGCUUAAUAAAUAUCCCUUCUAAAAAUCA